rnacentral:hammerhead_ribozyme from 1 species
AUCCAGCUGACAAGUCGGAGAUAGAACGAAACGCGCAUCCUGGAU